GUCUCUACAGAUUGCCUUUUCCUUCUGCUAGAACAAAUGACCCCACAUCUUCCUGUCAUCCAGCAGGACCAGGACUCUUGGUCCUGAUGACAGGAAGACUGGUUCAGGAACGUGGUGGCAUUCAUGUUGUCGAUCAACCGAACCUUGAGCAGCACUGACUUCUGGAGGUCCGAAGGUGUAGACACGAGCCCUGGAUACCAAGGAGCUUGCAGCUCACAAGGGGCAGAGACAGGCACAGGGAGCUGUAUCAGUGUGGAAAGGUGAAACCCAAUCACCUUGGGGUUGAUACUUGGGUACUGGAUUCUGAGUGCCAUCAGCAUCUUCUGACCAUGGGCACUAGCCACUGUCUUCCCUCUCUUAUUAACACAGAAUGAGCCUGCCGAGUGUGGACAGCAGUUCAGACAGCUUUCCUGGUCCUUACUGAGGAUGGGAAAGAGAAGACCCACAAAACUAAGUCUGAUUCACUGAGGAAAAACCGCAAGAAAAGUGACUUUGAAAAUGUCUUUAUUUAUAGACAUUUUGGAACCAUUUAAAUCAACAGACAACGAAUUUUUUUCAGACAUGACAUACCGUGUUUAUCUUGAGGUACACACUGGGCCCAUUAGAUAAUGCUCUGGAAAGUAAUGAACCAUUAACUAGUGGUUAACAAGUUUUCCAAGCAAAGAAACUGUAAAGAUGGCUACAAAAUUCUUUGAAAAGAAUACAUUUCUGUUUAAGGAAAACUCCCCCAAAUUCUUAAUUGAAUUCCAUUUUUAGGCUUAGCUUACACAACAUUUUAAAUGGAACUUAAUAUAAAAGUGGGCGAAAAGCUUUACAGUUUAUCUGAGCCCUACUACAAUAGACUGUGAACAAGGGAAAUUCACGAUCUGGUAAGCUCUAUUACAAAAUUUAUAGCCUAAAAAUUAGACCAGCAAAAUUACAGAAGAGUAUUUGUAUAGUUUUAGAUGAAAUCACGUUUACUCCUUCUCUCACUAUCACAAUGAGACAAAUUUUAAAACACCAAGUCUGGAAGAUGAAACAAUGUGAUUUAACAUGAUGUGGCCAUAAUGAUACCAUAAUAUUACAACUCCACCGCAUAAAAGUCCUACUUCCCAUCAUUCAAACUCUGGCCCUUUUAUUCUUCUUGCUGUGGCAGUCCGGUGCAUUUAUAUUACUUGAAAAAUAGUGGCAAUUGACAUAAUGGGCAUGUUUCUAAAAAUCUCUUAUGUUCAAUGGCAGAUUUUUAAACCUUGCAGAGUGAAAUGGAAAUUUCCUUUGAACAGUUCACUAGGUUCUUUGGAGGACUUUCCAGUAAUUCAAAAUGUCAAUUUUACACUCACCAGGUACAAUGAGUAGCAACUUACACAAAAUGUGUGGAAAAUGAAGGGCCGUGUAUUUAUCUACGCCCAAGUCCUGAAUUUCUCAGGGAGCUGUAUGGAUGGCGCACAGGUGGCUCUGGAAUGUGAACAGAGGCUGUUUAUGCGUGUGUCUGAAAACAGUUGAAAGGGAUUGUCACAAUAUUUCCUGGAAGGUUGUAUUUCUACACGAGACAAGAAUAAACACAGCAAUGUAGCCGAAUGGGCAGCUUCCCGCAAUUUCGUAAACUUGAAUGGUAUUUGUGGAUUUAAAGAAUGUUAAGUGUAAAUUUCACAGUUCAUAAAGUUGAGGCAGCUCAACUUUAAAAAAGAAUUUGCAGGCGUUUACAAGUUUCUGAGAAGGAACUUAUCUGUGAGUAUUUGUGUUCUCUCCCCAACACGAGUCAGGUCCACAUUGAACUUUUUAGCUGUUUGGCUUGGUUUAUUGCUGAUUUUCUUUUCUGAGGGGUGCCAUGACGAUUCCUGCCAUGAAUUUAAGGACCUCCAAAAGGUUUUGUGUAGACAGACACUCCCCGGUCCCUCCCACACAUUAUGGUUACUGUUCCGGUUACUGAGAACCUGCCAGAAGGCGCUGUACCCAGUGUUGACCUGCCAGUUCAGAAAGGCUCUGCGCUGGGAUCUCUCCAUCACGUCUCACUGCAGACAUCACAGCUCUCGGGGGGCGGGAAGGGCUGCCCCCUCCUCAUCCUCCUCUGCGCUCCUUGCCGUGAUUCUCUCCAGGUCCUGAAUGCCUCGUCAGGGUGCCAAGGUCCUUCAGACAGGUGUGCGGCUCAGGCCUGGCCAUGACAUUUCUUUUAGUAUAAUGCUAGAAGGUAUUUAGUACAAUUUAAAAAGUUACAGACCCCUCCCCCACUAGGCAAUGAGAGACAGUGUGCCUUCAACACACUCCAUGUUGUGACGGUCACGUGGUGCUCGUGAAUCGUGCCCUUAAAUACAGAUGUCAUUUCUUCCAUUGGUGGAUUCCUUAAAGACAGGACACAGUAACUCUCAAUCACCCAGCUGCCCAGGUUUCAUAUCACCCUUACAUACACAUACAUGGUCUCAGCAACCGUGAUUUUAAAUAUAAACAACGUGAGUUCCAACAGGGCAGGGGCCCUCUUUUUCCCAGCAUCCGAGAGAUACCAGUACCGUGCCCAAUGACUGCCUAAUGCAUUCAUGAUUCCAAGGCCACAGUCCCUGCCCUCAGGGAGUCUCCCUACUGCCAAUCAAUACAGAUUUCAUACAAAUAUGCCAAGAGCUAGAACAAACACACGAACAAAAGGAAAACAAUUCUAUCUUGUGUAAAGUUCUUGCAAAAGAAACAACAGUCAGUUGUUCAGGUGGGGCAACCUUCAUCUAAACCCAAACCAUCCCUGUUCCUCCCCUCUUGAAUUUGAGAAUUUUAUCCAAGUGCUAAAACUGAUUCAGCAAGGGUCUGCCAAUGACAAUGUGCAGCUUGGCAAAUGCAUCUUGUCUGUUUCUGCUUUAAAAAAGGAGUUUUGAAAGGUUAAUUUUAGUGAGGGAGGUAGUUCCCCUCACACAGAAGGAUGGUUUCUAACCAUGAAAAUCUCCUGGGUUUCAGGUUCUGGGAGUGUGGUUGGUACCCGACACUCCUCCAUAGAUCUAUCAGUUACUUCUGAAGGGUACAGUAUUUACAUUUUGGGAGACAUGUUAGGAGAAAAAAAUAUAUUUUAAAUAAAGGAGGUGUAGGUGGAAAAUCAGAAUAGCAAUGAAUUCACCUCAAUUCUAAACCGUGAGAAGGGUUAAAAAUAUCUUCCUAAUGCGAAGGAAUAAAAACAUCUAUCACAGGUCUACAAAACUAGACUGGUGGGUCUUUAAAUUUGUUUAUUCUGGUGAGCUGGAAGAGGAGAUGAUAAAAUAUAACCCAAUCCUGCAAGUCAUACCGUCACUUUGUUGACUGAACUACCCCACCCCAGAGGCGACAGGUACACCUCAGUCAUAAUGGUACAUCUAUAAUCUGGGGACAGACUGGAGUGGUGGUGGGGCUGCUGGAUGGUGCAUUGCUUAAAGAACUAAAACUUCUCUAAGAUUUAUAUUCUUUCAGAAAAUCAAGAACAAUUAUGUUUUGGAACAUUUAAUGACAUUUAGCAAAAAUUCUCAGACUAAUCUAGGAAUUCUUGGAAUAAAAGUAUAGUAAUAAUGUAAUUUGGGGGGAGGGGGCAGGAAGAUGUUUAUGAAAUAAACAAGUCCUCUUCUUGAUAUUUUAAAAAUUACUCAACAGACGUGGCAUAUGUAAUAAUAAAGGAUUGUGUGUCUGAUUUCUGAGCUCUUCUAGAGCAUGAAGCAAGCUAGGAACACUUAACACACUCUGAGAAAUGCUCUUCAGACUUCUCACUAUCAGACAGAGACCAGAGGAAAAAGGCCCUCAAACCCGAGAAUUAUUCAACAAAAGCUGUCAUUUCCCCAGAUAUCAUCAUGGAGUAUUAUAUGCAAAAAUAAGCCCUACAGUGGGCUUAAAAAUCAACUCUUUAUCGAUUUGUUCCAAGUUUUUAGUGAUGAAGCCAAAUUAAAACAAGCUUCGAGUGACAGGUUCUGAGAAUCUUUGGAAUCAUUCUGUCCACUAUUCCUAAGAGCAUCAACCUAAAGUUUCCUAAACUUCAAUGAAUAUUUUAAAGUGAACAGAUAUCUAAAAUAUCAGACUCAAAAUUAUGUUUAAAACAUACUGGUGUAUUGUGUAUACACAUACACACCUACAUGUAUGUAUAUUUUGUUUCCUUUCUGCUCAGUAAAAUUAGCAGCAGUUACAGAUAAAUUAUUAUGGUCAUGAUUUCUGAGGAUGUCAGGAACACACGACUUUUAGAAAAUGCCUUUUGAUAAAAGAUCCUCACCAAGCAUGUAACAUUUCAUACCGCUAACAUUUUCAGGCACAAGAGAAAAACAGCAUUAAGCAAUCCAGAUGACAGCGUACAGAAUAUAGUUAAUUGUUUAACGUCAACUCCCUGAAAGAAGGGAACUGUUGUUCAAAAGUGUUUUUUUAAGAUUCUGAUGUCCUACGGCUUUGGCUAUUUUGUAAUAAAUAUCAUACCUUCUUGGAUAAACCUACUUGGGUAACAAUGAUUUCUCCGCACAUGCCUUUUUUUUUUCUUUUAGCAGCUGCUAAGUGUUGAGUGACGUACAAGGCACAU